GCUCCAAAGGAAUUCCCUCUGAAGAAAUCAGUUCAAAAGUAGAAAAGAAGGAUUUUAAUUCUUUGGUUUUUGGCUAAUUGGAACACUCUGGAACUGUGAGGAAGAAGAAGAUCAGGACAAAACCUACUGCAGCAGCCCAAAAACCAGAGAAUGUAACACUGUCCUUUCCUUAUUUGCUAGGUACUUGUGUGUAUGUGUGUAUUUCUUGUUUCACCUGCAUGCAGAAGUUUUAUAACAGGAAAGAAUUUGUAAGUUUAAGUCCUGAUCAUUAUGAAGCACCAAGGGAAUGUGACAUAAAGUACUAAUGUAAUAGGUGGAGUUUCUGUCCUGAUCCAGACAAAGCCAGGGUUGUGUCAAGUAAAGUAGGCUUUUUCUCUUGAGAUUUGGCGGUGUUUUCUUUGGUAUCU
rnacentral:lncRNA from 1 species